GAUGAACGCUGGCGGCGUGCCUAAUACAUGCAAGUCGAGCGAACAGACGAGGAGCUUGCUCCUCUGACGUUAGCGGCGGACGGGUGAGUAACACGUGGAUAACCUACCUAUAAGACUGGGAUAACUUCGGGAAACCGGAGCUAAUACCGGAUAAUAUAUUGAACCGCAUGGUUCAAUAGUGAAAGACGGUUUUGCUGUCACUUAUAGAUGGAUCCGCGCCGCAUUGGCUAGUUGGUAAGGUAACGGCUUACCAAGGCGACGAUGCGUAGCCGACCUGAGAGGGUGAUCGGCCACACUGGAACUGAGACACGGUCCAGACUCCUACGGGAGGCAGCAGUAGGGAAUCUUCCGCAAUGGGCGAAAGCCUGACGGAGCAACGCCGCGUGAGUGAUGAAGGUCUUCGGAUCGUAAAACUCUGUUAUUAGGGAAGAACAAAUGUGUAAGUAACUAUGCACGUCUUGACGGUACCUAAUCAGAAAGCCACGGCUAACUACGUG
rnacentral:rRNA from 1 species